GUCACGAGACAAAUAGAGAAACAUCGUGCGAGCAGCAACCCACGGCAUGUCAAGCUAAUGAGGCGGUUUGCCGGAAUACCAACAACGACACGUCGAAGCAAACGCUGCUUCCCAUAAACCUGUGCUCCUGUGUCCGCUGGCACAGUCCAUGCCGUCUUAUCACGUUGCAAAAGCGCACUGCUUCCUUUGUUACACCGUCUCCUUCAUCUCACUUGGAGGUCACACAGCUUCUCGCUCAGCACGCGGCGAAAAGGCUUCAUCCUUGCUUCGAUUUCGCGCGCAGACGGACCUGUGCUUCUGAUGUGGCUGACGACGAAUUCUGAAAGACAACGAAAAAGCUUUUAAUAUAAAUCUGCACAAAAUGGAUAUGUGCAAACAUACACUAUCAUA